rnacentral:rRNA from 1 species
UAUCGGAACGUACCCUCGAGUGGGGGAUAACGCAGCGAAAGUUGCGCUAAUACCGCAUACGAUCUACGGAGGAAAGCAGGGGACUCGCAAGAGCCUUGUGCUCGUGGAGCGGCCGAUAUCUGAUUAGCUAGUUGGUAGGGUAAAAGCCUACCAAGGCCACGAUCAGUAGCUGGUCUGAGAGGACGACCAGCCACACUGGAACUGAGACACGGUCCAG